AAGUGUUCUGGAAGCUGUUGGGGCUACGGGUUCUGGUCUUCACCCAUCGUCGCCUAGGAUUCGUGCUGGAAGCUGUUGGGGCUAGGUGUUUCGACCUCGCCCACCUGCUGCUGUGCUGGAAGAUAUAUUGUGUUUGCAAAUUGGGCUUGCAAUGUAUUCAGUGAAUUGUAUCAUUGCAGUAACUGAAUAGGAAGCACACAAGUUUUAGCAAUUUGUGCAAGUAGACAGCAAAACAAAGAGAAGUCAUUGCUGAAUUCUACAGAGUACAU
rnacentral:lncRNA from 1 species